UGGGGAAUAUUGCACAAUAGGCGCAAGCCUGAUGCAGCCAUGCCGCGUGUAUGAAGAAGGCCUUCGGGUUGUAAAGUACUUUCAGCGGGGAGGAAGGUGUUGUGGUUAAUAACCACAGCAAUUGACGUUACCCGCAGAAGAAGCACCGGCUAACUCCGUGCCAGCAGCCGCGGUAAUACGGAGGGUGCAAGCGUUAAUCGGAAUUACUGGGCGUAAAGCGCACGCAGGCGGUCUGUCAAGUCGGAUGUGAAAUCCCCGGGCUCAACCUGGGAACUGCAUCCGAAACUGGCAGGCUUGAGUCUUGUAGAGGGGGGUAGAAUUCCAGGUGUAGCGGUGAAAUGCGUAGAGAUCUGGAGGAAUACCGGUGGCGAAGGCGGCCCCCUGGACAAAGACUGACGCUCAGGUGCGAAAGCGUGGGGAGCAAACA
rnacentral:rRNA from 1 species